rnacentral:lncRNA from 1 species
UGCAUAUUAGAACCUCUGCUAAACAUUGGGUUUUAUAUAUGGGAAAACAAAUUGACAAAAUCCUCUCCUCCUUUUCCUUACUGAUAAAAAGAAAAGGCUUUCUUAGCCUUUCAACAUUGAUUCCAAUUACAUAUAUACAUUCCUUCGUCAUUUGGAAGGACUAGAACCUAACAUGCAUGCUACAAACUCUCUCUAUAUGUACAUAUAUGUGUCCAAAAUAAACCGACCAUCAGUGUCAAUAAGGACCCAAACAGCCCAAGUACAUAACUUUUCUCAAAGAUUCCCCAGCCUGCUUUUACUUUUUCGUCUCUAGUUUUGCUUUGAACAAUUGAAGAAGAAGAAAGCUUGUUGGCCUGAGAAUAUGAUCUGACGUUAUUCUUGGCACGUUGAUUAAGUGCCCUUAUUCCAUGAUUCCACCUCCAAAACCCUUGGUCUUUCAAAGCCUCAAUAGCUCCAACACUUGCUGCAAUCCUGCACCCCAACUCAUUUGAGUUGCUUACACUCGAUGCUCAGUUUACAGAGCUGCGACAAUCCCGGGAGAGAG